rnacentral:rRNA from 1 species
UACAGAGGGUGCGAGCGUUAAUCGGAUUUACUGGGCGUAAAGCGCGCGUAGGCGGUUUGACAAGUAGGCUGUGAAAUCCCCGGGCUCAACCUGGGAACUGCAGUCUAAACUGUCUGACUAGAGAUUGGUAGAGGGGGGUGGAAUUCCUAGUGUAGCGGUGAAAUGCGUAGAGAUUAGGAAGAACAUCAGUGGCGAAGGCGACCCCCUGGAUCACAUCUGACGCUGAUGCGCGAAAGCGUGGGGAGCGAAC